rnacentral:misc_RNA from 1 species
GAUGAAGAACGCAGCGAAAUGCGAUAAGUAAUGUGAAUUGCAGAAUUCAGUGAAUCAUCGAAUCUUUGAACGCACAUUGCGCCAGCCAGUAUUCUGGCGGGCAUGCCUGUUCGAGCGUCAUUUCAACCAUCAAGCCCCCGGCUUGUGUUGGGGACCUGCGGCUGCCGCAGGCCCUGAAAACCAGUGGCGGGCUCGCUGUCACACCGAGCGUAGUAGAUUUUCAUCUCGCUCAGGGCGUGCUGCGGGUUCCGGCCGUAAAAAGCCUUAUUUACCCAAGGUUGACCUCGGAUCAGGUAGGAAGACCCGCUGAACUUAAGCAUAUCAAUAAGCGGAGGA